UUUUCCUAUCGUAUUUUUAAUUCUACGAUGUCUAAUACAGUUCAAUGUCGUACAGAUCGCAUAUAAAUAUAAAUGGAUGUAAGCAAAUCUGAGAUUAAUAGACUGAAAAAGCUGUCCUAGUAUAGUGGACGCCGGUGCAGCCACUGUUGUGUAUGGAAAGUCGGGAAAGUAGGGUAAAGUAGGGAAUGCAAUGUAUACCUGUAAGCAACGAUAAACCAUUUCUAACGAAAAAAUCAUUGCUGGGUCAGCUAGUACAUUGUAAUAUUAUCGGACACUCGUUCAACAUUGUUCUCCGGCAUUAUCUAUCGAUAUAUAAGAUACAUGAACAACCAAAAGAUUCGCUUCUCAUCUCUGUAAAACUAUAAUAAACGCGUUGCCCGUGCUAAUUUAAUAUUCUCUUUUAUAUUCAUAAUUUAAAAGCAGAAUUAAAAACGUAUUGAAAAUCAAAAUCAAUAAAACAAAUUUAAUUUAACGUGUCUUCUUUUUAUUUAAUCGUAUAUCUUGUACUCUUGUAAAACUGUACGAAUAUAUUUCGCUUAUCUAUUAUUAUGUUACAUCCAUGUCACCUGAGUAAUAAACCCGUAAAUUAACAAAGAAAUAAUUCGAUUUUCGUUCUAAAAAUACCAAAAACCCCUUGUGACUUUAAAGUGCGCGUGGAGCCACUUACCCGUUCAUCCUUUUCUAUAUACCAUAUGAAUUUAUCUCCAUGUGCGAUCGAUUCGAUUCCGGAUAACACGAACACUCGAUUUAUUAUUAUAAUGAUUAGAUACGAGUACGACACUUUUUAAAGGUAGAGACUAAAAACAAAUUUAAAAAACUAAUAAUUACGAUUUGUCUGGGUGUCUAUAUAAUAUCUGUUUAUCUAUUUUUAGUUUAAAAGGCCAUUUAGACCCGUCGUCGCUUGUUUCACACAACCUACUCCGUUCUUCAUCAAUCCUCUAUAAUAUAUUGUUCGCCAUUUUUUUUCGGACUAUUGAUUCCUGUUACAGUAUCUGAAGAUCAUUCGUCCGUCUAUUGGAACAUUGGAUUAAUUGUAUUAUUUUGCUAUUGAAAUGUCGAUUUCCGUAAACCUUUCA